UCAUUAUUAACAUUCUGUAUAUAAUUCAAUUUUAUUUACUCUCCCCUUUUUAUUAUUUUUAUUUUUAUUUUUAGCUGAAAAGACGUAAAGGCAGUCAGCCCAGUGGUGUUUCUGGAGAGGGAUUCCUUCAGAAAUGGAGAAGACAGAAAGCUGCGGAGGCAGAUAUAUGCAGCAUGUUCAAGUGAGCAUGAUGACCACAAGUGUGUGUCGAACUUUUCAUGACCUGAUGACUGUGUUUCCCAAUCCUGAUCCUGGAGAACCCCAGCACUGCACGGUUUUGGUGUCUCUCUUAUCUGCCUUGGAGUCUUCACUGAUGAGCUGAUGAGUUGAAUCAGGUCUAAAAUAUCAAGCUCAACAACUCACUCAAGAGCCAACCCUCACAAACCUUCCUAAAAACUAAAAGAGCUAUUACUGAGUCUCAGCGAAUCUUGCCAUGAUCAGCUCUUCCCAGAGUAAGUAGAGAUUAUCUUGUUUCACGGAAGAGAAGGAAGACCAAGGAAAUGAUUUGCUCAGGAUGAGGAAUGAAGAUGGCCAUCUUGUGCUCAAACAAACAGAAGUCCUCUGAUGAUCUCAUCAGCCAUAUGAGGGGUUUUGACCAAGUGAUGCUCUUGAAAGGAGUGAAAGAAGAGGAUGUGGUAAAUUGUCUUCAGAGAAAAAGCUUCUCAAAAGGUCUUAAAGCAGCUUGAAGAAUGGUCUGGGAUCUUAGGACUGAGAGAUCCUCUGGCUGAGAACAAGCUACACCACAUCAGUGCUGGAUAUCAACCACAAACUGUUUCCAGACACGAGAGAAGAAGAACACGAUGGGGAGAUGAAACCAGUUUAGAUGUGAUGAUGGGAAUCAUUAUUUUCUGGAACAGUAUCACAUGUCUUAUAUGUAUCACAUGAUCUGUAUCACAGUUGACUGGAUGGGACUGUGUGACUUUUAAGGACAUUUCAUCACUCAUCUGUGUGAACUUUAUAUAUGAGGUUAAUGUAUUUUUGAUGAUAAUUAUUUUCAUUGAAUCUUAUUUGUCUUGAUGCUACUUUAUCAACUUUAUAGUCUAUGCUUCAAUAAAAUGAAAAUGGUGAAUAUUGUGUUCUGAAGAUUCUUGGUAAAUACAUCAUUUUACUAGGUAGGCUCAUAUGUGUUUAUUUUAGACUUGGAAAAACAACAUAUUAAUUAUUGGGAUUAUUUUUUUAUUUAAGACAUAAACAUUUUUGAUCGGAUUAAUAACAUCUGGGACAUCAGUACACCAGAAAGUAAUUUUUUUAUAUUUUAGUAACAAAUAUGCACAUUUUUUAGUGAAAUAAAGGGAGUUACGGGAUUAAUUAUUCUGCAUUACAAGAUGGUGCCAUGGGCUUUAUUAUUACAAACACUUGAGGGAUAACUGAGAAUGUAGCAGGAAUGAUCAAUGGGAUAUUG